rnacentral:rRNA from 1 species
UACGUAGGGGGGCAAGCGUUGUCCCGGAUUCAUUGGGCGUAAAGAGCGUGUAGGCGGCCAGGUAGGUCGGUUGUGAAAACUGGAGGCUCAACCUUCAGAGGUCGACCGAAACCAUCUGGCUAGAGUCCGGGAGAGGAGAGUGGAAUUCCUGGUGUAGCGGUGAAAUGCGCAGAUAUCAGGAAGAACACCCGUGGCGAAAGCGGCUCUCUGGAACGGUACUGACGCUGAGACGCGAAAGCGUGGGAGCGAACAGG